rnacentral:rRNA from 1 species
GUAGGGAAUAUUGGACAAUGGGGGCAACCCUGAUCCAGCGACGCCGCGUGAGUGAUGAAGGCCUUCGGGUCGUAAAGCUCUGUUGCAGGGGAAGAACACAAUGACGGUACCCUGCUAGAAAGGAUCGGCUAACUUCGUGCCAGCAGCCGCGGUAAGACGAGGGAUCCUAGCGUUGUUCGGAAUUAUUGGGCGUAAAGCGGGUGCAGGUGGCUUGGUAAGUCAGAUGUGAAAGCCUGGGGCUUAACCCCAGAAGUGCAUUUGAUACUGCUGAGCUUGAGUGCUGGAGAGGCUAGUAGAAUUCCUGGUGUAGUGGUGAAAUACGUAGAUAUCAGGAGGAAUACCGGAGGCGAAGGCGGAUAGCUGGCCAGACACUGACACUCAGACCCGAAAGCGUGGGGAUCAAACAGGAUUAGAAACCCCGGUAGUCC